CAGCUAACACGUGGAUAACCUACCCUUAGGUACCGGUUAUAACCCUGGGAAACUGGGGAUAAUACCGGAUAUAUGGAGAUGCCUGGAAUGGUCCUCCACUUAAAGCUCCGGCGCCUANGGAUGGAUCUGCGGCCGAUUAGGUCGUUGGUGGGGUAAUGGCCCACCAAGCCUGUAAUCGGUACGGGUUGUGAGAGCAAGAG
rnacentral:rRNA from 1 species